rnacentral:rRNA from 1 species
UGGUGGAGUGAUUUGUCUGGUUAAUUCCGUUAACGAACGAGACCUCGACCUGCUAAAUAGUUCUAGUCAUCUUCCGAUGGCUGGACACUUCUUAGAGGGACUAUCGGUGGUUAGCCGAUGGAAGUUCGAGGCAAUAACA